rnacentral:rRNA from 1 species
UUAAUGGAGAGUUUGAUCCUGGCUCAGGACGAACGCUGGCGGCGUGCCUAAUACAUGCAAGUCGAGCGAGGGUCUUCGGACCCUAGCGGCGGACGGGUGAGUAACACGUAGGCAACCUGCCUGUAAGACUGGGAUAACAUAGGGAAACUUAUGCUAAUACCGGAUAGGGUUUUGCUUCGCCUGAAGCGAAACGGAAAGAUGGCGCAAGCUAUCACUUACAGAUGGGCCUGCGGCGCAUUAGCUAGUUGGUGAGGUAACGGCUCACCAAGGCGACGAUGCGUAGCCGACCUGAGAGGGUGACCGGCCACACUGGGACUGAGACACGGCCCAGACUCCUACGGGAGGCAGCAGUAGGGAAUUUUCCACAAUGGACGAAAGUCUGAUG